rnacentral:rRNA from 1 species
ACUCCUACGGGAGGCAGCAGUGGGGAAUAUUGCACAAUGGGGGAAACCCUGAUGCAGCCAUGCCGCGUGUGUGAAGAAGGCCUUGGGUUGUAAAGCACUUUCAGUAGGGAGGAAGGUAGUGUAGUUAACACCUGCAUUAUUUGACGUUACCUACAGAAGAAGCACCGGCUAACUCCGUGCCAGCAGCCGCGGUAAUACGGAGGGUGCGAGCGUUAAUCGGAAUUACUGGGCGUAAAGCGCAUGCAGGCGGCCUGUUAAGUCAGAUGUGAAAGCCCGGGGCUUAACCUCGGAAUUGCAUUUGAAACUGGCAGGCUAGAGUCUUGUAGAGGGGGUAGAAUUUCAGGUGUAGCGGUGAAAUGCGUAGAGAUCUG